UACGGAGGGAGCUAGCGUUGUUCGGAAUUACUGGGCGUAAAGCGCGCGUAGGCGGCUUUGUAAGUUAGAGGUGAAAGCCUGGAGCUCAACUCCAGAAUUGCCUUUAAGACUGCAUCGCUUGAAUCCGGGAGAGGUGAGUGGAAUUCCGAGUGUAGAGGUGAAAUUCGUAGAUAUUCGGAAGAACACCAGUGGCGAAGGCGGCUCACUGGACCGGCAUUGACGCUGAGGUGCGAAAGCGUGGGGAGCAAACAGG
rnacentral:rRNA from 1 species